UACGUAGGGUGCAAGCGUUGUCCGGAAUUAUUGGGCGUAAAGAGCUCGUAGGCGGUUUGUUGCGUCGGCUGUGGAAAUCCCGAGGCUCAACCUCGGGUCUGCAGUCGAUACGAGCAAACUAGAGUGUUGCAGGGGAGACUGGAAUUCCUGGUGUAGCGGUGAAAUGCGCAGAUAUCAGGAGGAACACCGGUGGCGAAGGCGGGUCUCUGGGCAACAACUGACGCUGGAGGAGCGAAAGCGUGGGGAGCGAACAGG
rnacentral:rRNA from 1 species